AAUAGAUACCCUGGUAGUCCACGCCGUAAACGAUGAGAACUAGAUGUCGGGGGGGAUUAGCCCCUCGGUGUCGUAGCUAACGCGCUAAGUUCUCCGCCUGGGGAGUACGGCCGCAAGGUUGNAAACUCAAAGGAAUUGACGGGGACCCGCACAAGCGGUGAAGCAUGUGGUUUAAUUCGAUGCAACGCGAAGAACCUUACCUGGUCUUGACAUCCUCGGAACCCUGCAGAGAUGCGGGGGUGCCUUCGGGAGCCGAGAGACAGGUGCUGCAUGGCUGUCGUCAGCUCGUGUCGUGAGNAUGUUGGGUUAAGUCCCGCAACGAGCGCAACCCUUGUCCCUAAUUGCCAUCAUUUAGUUGGGAACUCUAGGGAGACCGCCGGUGACAAACCGGAGGAAGGUGGGGAUGACGUCAAGUCAUCAUGGCCCUUAUGACCAGGGCUACACACGUGCUACAAUGGCCGGUACAAAGGGCUGCAACCCGCAAGGGGAGCCAAUCCCAGAAAGCCGGUCGUAGUCCGGAUCGGAGU
rnacentral:rRNA from 1 species